rnacentral:rRNA from 1 species
GGGACCCGCACAAAGUAGCGGAGCAUGUGGUUUAAUUCGAAGCAACGCGAAGAACCUUACCUAAGCUUGACAUCCCACUGACCUCUCCCUAAUCGGAGAUUUCCCUUCGGGGACAGUGGUGACAGGUGGUGCAUGGUUGUCGUCAGCUCGUGUCGUGAGAUGUUGGGUUAAGUCCCGCAACGAGCGCAACCCUUGCCUUUAGUUGCCAGCAUUAAGUUGGGCACUCUAGAGGGACUGCCGAGGAUAACUCGGAGGAAGGUGGGGAUGACGUCAAAUCAUCAUGCCCCUUAUGCUUAGGGCUACACACGUGCUACAAUGGGUGGUACAGAGGGUUGCCAAGCCGCGAGGUGGAGCUAAUCCCUUAAAGCCAUUCUCAGUUCGGAUUGUAGGCUGAAACUCGCCUACAUGAAGCUGGAGUUACUAGUAAUCGCAGAUCAGAAUGCUGCGGUGAAUGCGUUCCCGGGUCUUGUACACACCGCCCGUCACACCACGGGAGUUGGGGGCGCCCGAAGCCGGUUAGCUAACCUUUUAGGAAGCGGCCGUCGAAGGUGAAACCAAUAACUGGGGUGAAGUCGUAACAAGGUAGCCGUAA